UACGCGAGUUUCAUAACUAGGUAAGGUCUACUUGGUGCCUACCGAUAUUUACUUUAUUAGAAUGUUUAAACAUAGUUUUUAUUCAAUUCCGAUGAUUAAAUAACAUGAUGAUAAAUGAUAAAUGAAGAUACAGAAGUAGAGCUGUGUGACAAAGAUCGAGGUAGAUGUUGAAGUAAAAGAUCACAAAACAAGGAGUAACAAUGAAAAUCCUUACAUUUGGCUUACUGCUCAUAGUAUCACUAGGAAUUGUUUUAUCAAAACACCAAGGCUCUAUACUGUCAUCUAUUUUGAAACCAUUAGACUUUUCUAUUCAUUUACAUAUUACCUCUGAAGAAAAUCAACCAAAAAAUGACAUCCUUCAUGAAUUAGGAGAUUUCUACAAAGGAAAGAGAACUGGAUCCUUUAGACCCCAUGGUAACAAUGGUGACAAUGAACUAAAGAAUGACGUUCUUCACGAAUUGGGAGACUACUUCAAAGGCAAACGAAGCGAAAAUGAUUAUUUUUAUUAUUUUGAUGAAUAUUAACAGACAGUUUUAUUUAACUGAUCCUGAUAAAAACAAAAUAAUCAAACUUUGAAAUAACAUUAUAUUAUUAUAUGUCUUUAAAAUACUAGUAAAUGAAUUUACAUGUAAGCCAGGAUAUAUUCUCUUCUCUGUUCUAUAGGAACUGUAUGGGAUCUGUGACGAUUGGAUAUUUGAUUCUACAUAUACAAUUUUAUGUACAAAAAGUAAAAUAGCAAAAAUACCGAACUACAAGAAAAAUUCAAAACGGAACGUCAUACAUCAAAUGCCAACAUGGAAGGCUCAAACACAUCAAACGAAU